rnacentral:sRNA from 1 species
GGAUGUGAAGGUGAUCUGGCUGUGACACCUGUCACCCCAUUGAUCACUAGGGUGGAUUCCAGUGAUCUGGCUGGCUAGGCAGGUGUUCCUUUCCUCCCUUACUGCUGCAUGUUUUUCCCUCCCGAAGCUGCCCACUGGCUGGAAGAGGACAAAGAAACAAUAAAGCUACUUAAUACAUCCUUCACUUCACCUAACUACCAUUUUGUUGUUAUUAUUG